rnacentral:rRNA from 1 species
GGGGGACGUGUACGGGUGGCGGCCGCCAUUGCGCCGCUCUACUUCGCCCUCGGCCUCGGCUACGGCUCCGUGCGGUGGUGGAAGCUCUUCACGGCGGACCACUGCGACGCCGUCAACCGCCUCUUCGUCUACUUCGCGUUCCCGCUUCUCGGCUUCGACUUCACCGCCCGCGCCGGCUCCUUCGUCGCCGGCUACCGCGUGCUGGCGGCCGACGCCGUCGCCAAGCUCAUCGUCGUGCUCGCGCUCGUCGGGGCCGCGACGUGCCGCGGCGGCAGCGCGCCCUCGUCCUACUCCUGGUGCAUCACCGGCUUCUCGCUGGCGGCGCUCAACAACGCGCUCCUCGUGGGCGUGCCGCUGCUGGACGCCAUGUACGGCAAGUGGGCGGGCGACAUCAUCGUGCAGCUCUCGGUCCUGCAGGUCGUCGUGUGGUUCCCGCUGAUGCUCAUCGUCUUCGAGGCGAGGCAGGCCUGGCUGGAGGUGACCUCGGAGCCGGCUGAUGCUGAUCAAGGCGCGCGCGAAGAAGGCGAUCUGUCGGCGCCGGCCGAAGGCGCGCGCGAAGACGGCAGCCAGGCGGCGUUGGGGAGCGACUUCGAAUGGCCGCUGCUGCGAGCGGUCGGGGUGAAGCUCGCCCGCAACCCCAACGUGUACGCCAGCCUCCUAGGGGUCGCGUGGUCUUCCGUGGCAAACAGGUGGCACCUGAAGAUGCCAAGCAUCAUAGAUGGCUCGAUCGCGAUCAUGUCAAAGACCGGCAUUGGAAUGGGAAUGUUCAGCAUGGGCAUGUUCAUAGGACUACAAGACAAGUUUAUCAUGUGUGGACUAGGCUGGACCAUGUUGAGCUUGGUGUUGAGGUUCAUUGCGGCUCCAGCCGCCACCUUAGCUGGAGCCCUAAUUCUAGGACUCCGAGGUGACCUUCUACGUGUUACUAUCUUACAGGCUGCAUUGCCACAGUCUAUAGGAUCAUUUGUCUUCUCGCGAGAAUACGACCUGCAUUCUGGCGUACUUAGUACCGCGUAA